GGCAGGGUGGGGUUGGGGACGCUGCUGCGGGGACUUAGAUUGCACGGCAGGUGUUAAGUAGAGAGGCAGGACCAGCUGGUUCCGAGGAGAGGCUGAGAAUGACAGACACCGACCGGUCCGGCAGGACUGCCCAGUGGCCGGAGAGAAGGCACCAAGCAGGAAGCCAAAGAUGGACGAGAGAUGGGACACCUUGGAAAAAUCAGCCCCUCUCCUCUACUUCCAGGAUAUAAUGAGAAUUAUCUUCCACACUUUUCCACCCAUCCCUCCCACCCAUCAAGGACUUCUCCAAACUCUGAGGCUCCUGGAGGGGGCUCAUCGGCAGGGGCUCUGCGCCCGCCGAGAUGGUCAUUCACCUACGGGCUCAGCCAGGGGCAGGAUUUUAAAGGGGGGAGGCGUUGAGGCCCCUGAGACGCUGCAGGACUCCGGCGUCCUGGAGAGCCAGGGACGGCACCACGUGCUCAUGAUCAGCAUCAAGGCAGCAUCCCCUCCCCUCCCACUGCCUGUGUCCACGAUGCUGCUGCCCGGCCCUGGGCACCUGCUCACUGGGGCCUGCAUUGGGGGGCCUUACACAGAGCCUGCACCCCAAACCCCAAGCACAGAUGUGGCCAAGCCAGGAGCACCUGACACACAGCCCUGGGAGAAGCUGAAGAACAGACUGGAAUCCUGGGACCUGCCUGGACUGUCUCGGGUCUGUGUACCCCAGAACCAGACAGCCCCCACCCACAUUUCCCAAGCCACUGAACGGUGCCCGUUUCCCAGAUUCCCUGGCCUGCAAACGGCAGCCUCACACAGCCUCAGCCAGGUCUGCUGGGCACAGGUCUGGGCACGGCCGGAAGCUGCACCUGACCACUCUCUGCCACUCCCAUCCUGCGGGGUUUCCUCAGCAUCCAAGGAAGGCGUCCGUGUCGCCUGCGGAGGCAGCUGGUGCAGGGCUGAGAGGUCCUGCCUGUAGUCAGCCAAAUCCCAAGGUCCUGGGGCCGGGUCCCCUCCCGCCUGGCCCCCAGUGUGUACCCCUGGAGGAGCAGCCUGCCCCCGUGUUCCGGCCAACUCUUGGUCAUCGGUGUGUCUCAGUUUACUCAAGGAAGCCGAUUAUGCGGCAUGAACACACCACGAUCACACCGACGAGACCCACCGGAGCGGGGGAUUUCCUCCUGGCUGGGCAGGGGACGGGGCUCACACACCCUCUUCUGUCCGGGGUUCCAGCCCACGGAGCCUCUGUCCUCCUGAGUCAGCACAAACUGGAACUUCUGACGCACAGACGAGCUUGUCCACCUCCCGUGGGUCGCGCUGCCAGGCCAAAGGCUCAGGCUCACCUCAGGCUCGGCGGGGCUGGCGCUGCCCGGCUCAGCCUCCAUCGGCUCUCGCAGCUACAGCAAGUGCAGGAACGGGAGGCAAGGGAAACCGCGGGGCUGGCCGGGGAGUGCUGGGGAGCCGGCCUGUCCCAGGGGACGGCGUCACUGCUGCCAGAUGGCCGGCACCGACAUUCCACAUUAUGUACCCAUUCCUGCAGCAUUAAAGGCUUAGGGGCCCCCGUCCCCUGAUGAAAGGCGAAUACCCUGGGGAGAGGAGAGGCAUCAGCCUCCUCGGAUCCCUCCUGCCCCUCCACCCCAUCAGGAUAGGAGAGGCCUCUCGUGAGGGCCCUGGAGGUGCUCAGCCCAGGGAGGGGCCUGCACCUGUGCCCGUUCCCGUGAGAUGCCAGGCGUGGGUCCCAGCUCCGGGGGCCCCCGGUGAACCUCAGAGUCUGGGCCCCUGUCAGUUCCGAGGAUCCCUGCAUGUCUGCUUCCUCGGAUAAGCAACCCACCAUCCACAGGGCACUGGAAAUCACCUCAGGCUCGGUUUAAGCAGAUGCCACAGGGUCACCAAGUGUAAACGAGGAAACCCAAGCACCUGCCUCACAGGACACAGUAAAGUUCUGGGACCCCAAGCCAGCCUGACGUGUACUGGGGCCACAGUCCUGCACAGGACCCCACAGGCCCAGGAGGCACACGGAGGAAAUCGGGCCUGUGCCAGUGCGGACGUCCAGGUGUGCGUGGCAGGGACGGACUACACCACAGCCUCUCUAAGAAUCGCACCCAGAAGCAGAACAAAGCUCAGGCCACAGAGCAUGUGACCCACAGCCCAACGUCUUCAAGACCAAUCACCACUUUAAUCAGCAGAAAGAAUGUUUGCAGGUUCCUAACAUCUGGCCUGGCACCUUCUACCUCCGGUUAGAAAGACUGAACUUGGAGCUUGGAUUUCUCCAGGUUUCGCCUCAUUGUGAGUUUUUCUCCAGGGCCCCCAGAGCAAGGCUGGUACCCCCUCCCCCAGGUCUCCCACCCACCAUAACUGUUGGUGACCGAGAUAAAGGCCGCCGUGGUUAAAGUUUUAUCCAGCAUGCAACCAACCACAGCACAGCUGAGUUUACAUCAGCGUCCAGCCCUUAGGGUGCUGAGGCCCAGGGGCAGUCUGAGCUCAUGGGCCAGCUGGGACUCGGGGCAGUCAGGACUCCAGGCAGACGGUCCUACACUCACUCUGUAAAUGACCAGUCUACCUGGGAGAGAUUUCAGAGACAGAUGAAAAGUAAUCUAGGCCAAGAACAUAGAACACAAAAAUGUGGACUCCCAUUCAGGAUAGAAGUCUGUACACCCGAGGCCGAGGCCACACAGACCAUGGAGGUCACACCAGCCCACAGGUGCCUCCCAGGACCUCAUGCCUCCUGGAGUCUACCCACAGAAUUUUCUAGAGACCAACACAGCCCUCCACGAAGGACCUCUCCCCCAAGUACAGGCGUCCAGAGACGCCACGUGACACCUCCACUCCCUGCCGGCCACACAGGGAAGCUGUCUGUUUCUCGUACCCACAAGACCCCUCUGGGACGGGGGUGGCCCCAUGUUCUGGGCAUCACAGCUCAGCACUGCUCAGGGCUGAGUCAGCCUCAGCUCCCACCCAAAAAUGGACAUUUCAGGGUCUUUAGCCGACACCACAGACACCCAGCCAAUUCCCAGGGCAGUUUGAAUGGCAAAAGCACCCGUUUCAAAGGCGCUACAUGAUCCACAAGCACGGGGGCGCGUCCGACCCAGCACUGGCCCGGCCGCCACAGGGGGAUGCUCACCAUGCUCCCCAGACACACCUCCAGGGAGAGAGGCCCCGCUCGGCCAAGGCCAUGCCGCCCGAAACACUAACCCAGACGGGCCAGUCUUUUCAAAGGUGGUUUUAGUUGGAAAGGCUGCAUUUCCAAGAUGGUUUAGUUUGGACAUCCCACACCCCCCUACACCAUGUCACACCCCCUAGGAGGGCCCCUCUGCGGGCGCCAGUGUCCCCCAACCCCAGCCACCUGUGGGGCUCUUCAGGCAAAACCGUCAUGUCCGAAGCACAGACACAGAAGGGUUUUCACCAAGGCUGAGCAGACGAGGGGGCAGGAAGAAAUCAGAGACACCUGCCAGAUCACCAGCCCCGUGAUGACAAGGCCCGCCGCCCCCGCCCCAGGCAGGACACUCACCAGACAGCUCGUGCAGGUCCGACGCCCUGGGCCUCCUAAUCAGCUCGUACUGGAAGCCUGUGGUCCUCCGGCCGAUAUCCUGCUGCGGCGUGGCCUCCACGAACAGGCCGCCCUGCUCCAGGCCAAAACACUGCACCCGGCCGGGCCUGCCGUCCCCGUCCGGUACCAGCAGUCUCAGUUCUCCAGUUUUUUCCAAAUAAAUAUUGGCCCCCGAGGAGUCCGUGAAGGGCCUGAUGCACACGGUCAGGUGCCGGGCAGGCGAGAAGGUGUUGG